rnacentral:snRNA from 1 species
AGAUGGAAGGUAGAUGUGGUUAUGGCAUCUGAUAGCAGGGUUGAUUUGGCUGAUCUGACUGUUUAGGCAGGUGUUCCUUCUUCCCUCACUGAUCCACAUGCAUCUCACCCAAAGAUGUGUUCUUGGUGGAAGGGGUUGGCCACUCCAGAUAGAAGUAUACCAUUCUUUAGGUCAAAGCAGAAAAAACCUUUCCUUAAUGAUUGCCAGAUAAGACAUUUAAAGAAUCAGUAUAAACAUAGGUGGGUCACACAAGCAUAUUAAAGGACGUGGCUCCACUU